rnacentral:lncRNA from 1 species
AGACCCUUUCUGUUGGUUUUCUCUGCUCCCUGGGGUCACUAACGCGGUUCUCACUUCAACCUGAGCAGGUGCCAGGGAGCCACACGGAGACCCCUCCCUCGCCAGGCAGCCGCUUUCUUCCAAGGGGAGGAGCAAGCACCGAAAAGCUAACGUGGACCCACCCACUUCCUCUUCCUCAACCCACCUAGGUGGGCCAUCCAUCACCCAGGUCUCCGGAUUUUUUCCCUUACCUGAAUUUAUUUUAUACAGGACACUGUCAAAGUUCAGAGAGGUUAAGACACCAGUCAGAAGUCACACAGCCGGGCCAAGAGGUGCCCCGCGCUGACCAGUGCAGUAAUGAGGGACGCGGGGCGGGGUCAGCUGGGAGGGGACGGUCCUUCCCACCCGCCUAGCGCGGCUCCCAGGCAGACGACACAGGUGGGCUGGGGCGAGCUGUGCCGAACCCCCGCGGGGCCUGGCACCCCACACCCAGCCCCGCACCUCUCCGGGUCCCCUGCGCACCGCCGGGUCCUACAGCGUGGCCUCCACCAUCGGCCUUGGGUUCAAAUCCCAGCAGAACCACUUCUCUCUGCUGUAUUCUCGGGGGUGUUUGUAAGCGGGAUGGAGCAGAAUGAGAACCCCUAGGAGGAAGGUGGGUCGGAGAGAGGUCCCCGACUUAGAAUUUCAGUAAAUGGUCAGGUGUGGUGUCGAAGGCCUGUGAUCCCAGCUACUGGGAGGCUGAGGCAGGAGGAUCACAAGUUUGAGGCCAGCCUCAGAUUUUGCAAAACCCUGUCUCAAAAUAAAACAUAGAAGACUGGGAUGCAGCUCCAUGGCAGAGUGCCUCUGGGUCCCAUCCCUCGGUCCCGGGAGAAAACGUCCCCGCGUGUCUGCUGUUAGUAUUUGUUAUGAUUCCAGCUGACGAGGCUCGAGGACCCUGAGGCCAGAAUGGACCUUGGAGAGACUCCUGGCAGCCCCCAGCCCCCUUAAUAUUUAGGGAAGCUCAAGGUCCACUUCCAGCACUGGAGGGGCGGGAGGUCUCAGGUGGACGUUCUUGAUUCCAGACCUUCUAGUACCUUCCCAUGACAGAGGCUGUCACCUCUAUGUGGCUCAGAGUGGAGCCCUUGGGCUCAAGCUGUCCUCUCGCGUCAGCCUCCACAGUAGCUGGGGCUGUAGGCACACACAGUGCCCAACUCUGUCUUCACCUGCUUCUCUGCAACAGCCCAAAGCAGAAGGGCUGUCCACCAUCGUCUGGCCUGCCUUCCAACUUGCUGUGCAUCCCUGGGUUAAACACCCUCUCUGGGCCCACACCCACACCUGUCAGCUAGUCUGGCAGGCUGUGUGUUAGACUCCUGUGGAGAGGCUUUUAAAAGGUGCCCGUUCCAGCCCCUCCUGAGACCGGGUGACAGCCAGACCUCCAAGGGGUCAGCCCUGCUCCGGACCUGUGUCUGCUAAGCGCACACCAUCCACCAUCCACGCUGGGUCCCUCUCCGUGCUGCUUCUGGGACAGUGAGGACCCUGAGACCCAGCGAGGGGAGACUUCCGGAGCUGGACGUGAACCCCGAUGUCUGGCCUCCGGCCCCUCUUUCUGCUGGAGCGUUGAGGGACUGGGGAUCGCACAGUGGCCUGGGCUGGGGACUGAUGGGCGCAGGCCGCGGGGCCCUGCCUCUGGCCCACAGUCCCUGGGGCCCGGGUCUCUUGGACGCCCCUCAGCCACUGCCGAGGAGGGACGGGGUGUGGGAGGGCAGCCCCAGGCCUGGGCCGGGCCUGUCCCUCUCCUGGGGCUGGUGGCUCUUGGUCCUGGUGUCGAGGACUGAGUCCAGAGUUGCU